GCGGUAGCCGGCGUCCAUCUCCUCCGACCCAGCCGUGACCUCAGGUCCCUCCCACUCCAUUCUCUUCCCUAAAAAAGAAAUGUUAGCAACAACCCAACCAAGGAGCCCGCCCCAUGCCAUCUCCGCCCAGCCCCAGCCGCCUGCCUAUCGCUCUUUUAAGCCCGCUUGACAAUAACCAUUCAUCACAAAGAAGAAAACAAAGUAUGGAGAAGCAGAAACCAAUCUACGGCCGCAAAUUGACAUCAGACUUUGAGAAAUGGACUGCGAGGUGGCGGUGCGCUGAGCUCUUUCUUCUCCCCAGGGUAGGCAUGCAGCUGGGCACCUCCUGUCACGACCCCUCUCGGCCCCAGUUCGGCCUGGAGGCGACUACAGUCCAGGGAGCAGAUCUGACUUUCACAGAGACCUAAUUGAGGAAAGGCCUUACCAGAAAAAUAUGGAGAUUUCGGUGCCAGUGCCUCCUUUGAGGGCGACCCCCUUUGUGGGAAGGGUCUUCCGACUAACCUCUGAGAGCGACAUCACAGGAUCCAGAUGUGUAUCAUGAGGUGGGCCUCCCGAUCUGUCUGCCAAGACCUUCAUCUGAACCGGACUCACGGCCUGCAGCUGCAGCAGGGAGCAAGUGGCUUUUGAACCCCAGCCAGGUUAACUAGGUCCAGCGCGGCUAACGGAAGGAAGGAGCCGUGCGGCACUAGGGUGCCGGGUUCCAAGGAAGAGGGGCGGGAACAUCCCCAAAGAAGCUGCACUUGGAGCCAGAGCCGCGUCCCUGCGGCAGCGCCAUCAGAGCGGCCUCCCCUGCAGGUGCGGCCCAGCCGGGCCUGUGCUCGGCGCUGGGCCCGGAGGUGAGCAGAUGCCUCCAUCGGAGGGCGCGGGGCGCAGCACUGGGGGACAAGCAGGGUGCGGUGGCACGAGGCGGGUGUGGGCCGGUUGGCUCUGGUCUUCCAAGCGGCCAGGAGACUGCAGCCUCUAUUUCCCAGCCAAUUCCCGGGCCCUGGCACGUGCUGGCGACAGCCUGGAACCUGUGCCAGAGGCGAGGGGAAGGAAAGAUGAAGCGUGUGCCCCGCGAGCAGCCUCGCCCAGCCCAUCCACACUGAUUCUCAGCUGGGCUUCCAGCCCACGGGCGACGUGAGCACGCAAGCCAGCCAAGUUCUCUCACCUGCGGGUGUCCAGAGCCUUGGAGGGCCAGUAAUUACCCAGUAAUUACCCUGUUUAUUGCCUCAUUACAGGUGACCACCUUUUGGCAGGCAUUUCCCUGAGAAGGUCUCUUCCCAGCGAGGGUUCCUGGGCGCUGGGAGGGAGCAGGCGGGCAGGCGGGCCCUGCUGGGGCAGCAGGCCGAAUCGCGCUCCCCGUUUCCCGCUCACCCCGCCCCAGCCGGCUGCCGGGCCCUGCUCCAGGCCUCGGCCUCUCCUGGUGCUGACCGCCCGUGUCCGGUGGGUCACAUCAGAACGACUCCUACCCGUUUAACAACGGUCCAUCUCAAGCCCCCUGCCUCCAUCACGGUGCGAGGGCCCCCCAGGAGUCUCCUUGGCAUCUGGUCCUCCGCCUGGUCUUCCCCGGUUCCCCCCACACUGUGGCUCGAGGAGCUCGGUGCACAGGGCCGGCUGGUGUUGUGUG